rnacentral:rRNA from 1 species
UGCAGAAGUUGCAAGCUACUGUGAUAGAGUUACCGCUGCACUUGGCUAAACUUUACAGCAAUAAGACAAUAAUAUUUAAAAUAGGUACUACAAUCUAAUAAGGAUAUAAAAAUGAAAUCAGUUAUUACUACUAUAAUCAGCGCUGCUGAUGCUGCUGGUCGUUUUCUGACUAGCUCAGAUCUUGAAUCAGUACAAGGAAAUAUUCAACGUGCAGGUGCAAGAUUAGAAGCAGCUGAGAAACUUGCAGAUAAUCAUGAAGCUGUUGUAAAAGAAGCAGGAGAUGCUUGUUUUACUAAAUAUUCAUACUUAAAAAAUUCAGGUGAAGCUGGAGACAGUCAAGAAAAAGUUAAUAAAUGUUAUAGAGAUAUAGAUCAUUAUAUGCGUCUAAUUAAC